rnacentral:tRNA from 1 species
GCGCGCCUCGCUCAACUAGGCAGAAGCAGUGGUCUCAAAAGCCACAAAGUCUGGGUUCGAAUCCCAGGGUGCGCA